GACCUAGGUAUAUGGGCCCAGGAACAUGUCUCAUUCCAUCACCUCCCUCUGAGCAUCAGGGGUCACACUAGAAGGGGGUGGCCAUGGUAAGUGUUCCCCACUGAGCUUGGGGUAGCUGCCUUCUCAGAGGCCAUGCAAUGCUUUCUUCGUCAGAACCAUCACUAGAGUAAGUGAGAGUGUGGACUCUAGAAUGGACUUCCAGAAUUUAACUAGUGACUUCAAGUGAC
rnacentral:lncRNA from 10 species